UGGGCUGUCGGUUAGUGGUAGACUGCUUGCCUAGCAUGCAUGAGGCCCUAGGUUUGAUCCCCAGCACUGCAG
rnacentral:tRNA from 1 species